AUCGUGCAUAACACAUGCAAGUCGAACGGGACUUUGCGCUGUAGCAAUACAGUGUAAAGUUUAGUGGCAGACGGGUGAGUAAUGUAUAAGAAACCUACCUCCGAGUGGGGAAUAACAGUCCGAAAGGAUUGCUAAUACCCCAUAACAUAAUUAAGUGGCAUCACUUGAUUAUCAAAGAUUCGUCGCUUGGAGACGGUCUUAUAUUCUAUCAGCUAGUUGGCAGUGUAACGGACUACCAAGGCUACGACGGAUAGCCGGCCUGAAAGGGCGACCGGCCACAAGGGCACUGAGACACGGGCCCUACUCCUACGGGAGGCAGCAGUGGGGAAUUUUGGACAAUGGGCGAAAGCCUGAUCCAGCAACGAUGCGUGGAGGAUGAAGGUUCUCGGAUUGUAAACUCCUUUUGUAUGGGAAGAAAAAAAUGACGGUACCUUACGAAUAAGCCACGGCUAACUACGUGCCAGCAGCCGCGGUAAGACGUAGGUGGCAAGCGUUACUCGGAAUUACUAGGCGUAAAGCGCGCGUAGGCGGAAUGUUAAGUCUGUUGUGUAAUCUCUGGGCUCAACCCAGAAACUGCAACGGAAACUGGCGUUCUUGAGUGAGGCAGAGGAUAUCGGAAUUCCUAGUGUAGCAGUGAAAUGCGUAGAUAUUAGGAGGAACACCGGUGGCGAAGGCGGAUAUCUGGGCCUUUACUGACGCUCAAGUGCGAAAGCUAGGGGAGCAAACGGGAUUAGAUACCCCGGUAGUCCUAGCCGUAAACGAUGAUAACUAGGUGUGGGAGGUAUCGACCCCUUCCGUGCCGCCGCUAACGCAUUAAGUUAUCCGCCUGGGGAGUACGGCCGCAAGGUUAAAACUCAAAGGAAUUGACGGGGACCCGCACAAGAGGUGGAGUAUGUGGUUUAAUUCGACGCUACGCGAAAAACC
rnacentral:rRNA from 1 species